AUAUGCGGGUAAAUGCGCUACGGGCAGGCUCUGGAGGUCGCGGGCGAGGCAGAGGCGGCCCACCAGCCCCUCGAACAGCGACGCGGGCCGCUCCGGAGGCAGCAGCUCCGUGCCGCUGCGCUCCAGGCAGCACCACUCCGUGAA